GUAGGGACGGGCGUCAUAAUUGACAUUUCUAAGAAGUUCUAGGCAUUCCAGAGAGAAAUGUAACUUUCUUCUUAGCUUACACACACGGAGAUAAGGAAAUAACGGGCUUUGACACGAUUAGAGGGCGGAGACCGAAAGGGUUCUAGUGCGCAGGCGCAGCCAUCGGUCCUUUUUCUUCUUGGGUGGUGCGGCUGGAACUUUCUGGAAACAGCGGCGGUGGCCAGGGGUGGUCUUCCAAAGGCAGGCGGAAGAGUGUAGCGCGCGGACUUGGCCGCCUCCCGUGCACCGAAUGGCAACCGAGACGUGCUCGUCCCGGGGCCACUCAUUCAGGUUACUCCCUUCCCGAGGGAAGGGUUUUCCGGCGACCGUGGCGCAGUGAGUUUUAAUAAACAUCGAGCACGCAUGCGUGGCUGGUCUGAUGGCUGAUCUACUGCAUCCUAAUAAAAUCGCGUGUGGUGGCGGGGAGAGUUGACGGCGGAGGGACUUGGGGCUUUGGUGUAUUGAAUUGUUCUCCUUGGGGUCCGGCGUGUGAAAACGUAAGGAGAGCACUUUGCACGAACAACUGCGCCCUUCUUUUAGUAACCGUAGGGCUUCUUAUGGUCUGCCUCCUGCAUAGCAAUAUUGCCAGCUUGCAGUGUACGGAAAGGAUUCUCCAGUGGACUCAUCAGGCUGAGCUAUCUACCUACAGCUUUAUUAAACAUGUGACUGAAAAACUGCCAAAGCUCAGAAAGCCUACAGGUACCUAUCCCUUUUUUCUAAUCCACAUAGGAACAAAUCAUACCACCUAAUGGCACUACAAAGAAAGCACAUCAGAUUUUGAAGCUUUGGGAAGGAAAUGCAAGAAUUUAGGGCACUAGUUAGCUUUCUUGGAAGAGGAAUAGAAAGUGAAAGUAAAACUGCAGGUGAAUGACUGGCUAUGAAUAUGGUGCCAACAUGAAAGAUUUAGAUUCUGGAACCACAGACUAUGCUACUUGGAAGACGGACUGCUUUCAAGCAAUGGAUUUCUGCUCACAAAAGAGCUGAAAAGAAAUGUAUUUGGUCACAGCAUGAACAAUUUCAUCGGGAAGGCUUUAAACUGAAUCCUACUGAACUACUGAAUCCUACUGAACUUGAAGGCAACAGUAGAUGAAGGCUUAUGAACCAUGACAGUGAGAAGAACUCUAGUAGUACCCCAAAUAGUCUUUUCAAUACUAUAGGAAAGAUGCCAGACCAUAAAACACAUGAGCUUCAGUAUAUUAGCUACACUAAUACCCAGAGUAUGGAAAGCCAACAUUUUAAAUGUGAACUCUUAACACAUGAAGGCAAAUGUGACCUGAUACAUUUUAUUGAAACUUGGUGCAAUAGCUCCCAUGACUGGAAUAUUGCAAUUAAAGGGUAUAAUUUGUUCAAAAAGAGCAAAAGAAACAGGAAAGCCGAUGGACUUGUAUUUAUGUAUGUGUCUUAUUUUGGCCCCAAGGCAGAAAAUCCUACAAGCAUCUCUUCUCUCUGUAGGCAGUGAAAAUAUCAUACUAAUAAACAAUGAAUAAUUUGC